rnacentral:rRNA from 1 species
UAGGGAAUAUUGCACAAUGGAGGAAACUCUGAUGCAGCGACGCCGCGUGAGUGAUGAAGGCCUUCGGGUCGUAAAGCUCUGUCGCAGGGGAAUAACACAAUGAAGGUACCCUGUAAGAAAGGAUCGGCUAACUUCGUGCCAGCAGCCGCGGUAAGACGAGGGAUCCUAGCGUUGUUCGGAAUUAUUGGGCGUAAAGCGGGUGUAGGUGGCUAUGUAAGUCAGACGUGAAAGCCCAGGGCUCAACCCUGGAAGUGCGUUUGAAACUGCGUAGCUUGAGUGCUGGAGAGGUUACUAGAAUUCUUGGUGUAGUGGUGAAAUACGUAGAUAUCAAGAGGAAUACCGGAGGCGAAGGCGGGUAACUGGCCAAGCACUGACACUCAGACCCGAAAGUGCGGGGAUCAAACA